rnacentral:rRNA from 1 species
UGGGGAAUCUUCCGCAAUGGGUGAGAGCCUGACGGAGCAACGCCGCGUGAAUGAAGAAGGCCUUCGGGUUGUAAAGUUCUGUCCUUGGGGAAGAACGGUAGGUACAGGCAAUGGUAUCUACGUGACGGUACCUGAGGAGGAAGCCCUGGCUAACUACGUGCCAGCAGCCGCGGUAAUACGUAGAGGGCAAGCGUUGUCCGGAAUCAUUGGGCGUAAAGGGUACGCAGGCGGAUAUGCAAGUCAAAUGUGAAAGGUACCGGCCCAACCGGUAGAGUGCAUUUGAAACUGUAUAUCUUGAGUACAGCAGAGGAGAACGGAAUUCCUGGAGUAGCGGUGGAAUGCGUAGAUAUCAGGAAGAACACCAGUGGCGUAAGCGGUUCUCUGGGCUGUAACUGACGCUGAGGUACGAAAGCUGGGUUAGCGAACG